rnacentral:misc_RNA from 1 species
GGGGUGUAAAGAGAAAGAGAAACAAUGCUUGUGAGUCGGCCUCUUUCCUUAUUUAGAAGGUCGCCGAGCAGGCUUUCGAUGCCGGUGGCCGCGACGGAGGGCCCGUUUUCGGGGGUUUUUGUGGUGAAAGAUGAGGAAGCCGAGGCCGAGGAUUCGUUCUGUUGGGGAAUUUGCAGGCGGAGGAGAAUCAAGAAGCCGCCAUUUCCACAAGAUAGGAUCUUGACCAUUGUUCAUAGCUCUUCUCAAUAUGAAGAAACUAAGUCCACUAAAGUUUGGUUGCUCCCUGUUCUUGAUCGUCCUCUUUCUUCUAAUCGUUACUAUCUUAUCAAAGCUCAAGGCAAACAUAAAGGGAAAGCAUACAAAUGCUCGAGAGAAGACGAGAUAACAACAUGUUGCUUUGGGGAUGUUUUGAGCGACAAGAAGCC